rnacentral:tRNA from 1 species
GCGGCGGUAGUUCAGCGGUAGAACGUCUGCUUCCCAAGCAGAAGGUCGCCGGUUCGAAUCCGGUUCGCCGCU